CCACCUUAAAGUGCCCAAGGUUGAGAAACACUGCUCUAAAUGUUUUAUCAUAUUCCUUCCUUCCUCCCUACUUUAGAGAAAAGUCCAAGGCUUUUCUUCCCCAAGUUAGCAUUCUCCAGGGGGGCUAGACUACAACUCCAACCAUCCUCAGCCAGAGUGAAUCCAUGGGAGGGUGCCAGGCUACGAGUGAGCGAUCUAGCCUCCAAAAGCAUUCUCAAGUCUUUCUGUAACCUCCAACCCACCCCAGUGCUUCUCUCUUUAAAAAAAAAAAAAAAUCUGGAGUAAAGACCAAUUUCCGCCAAGUGCAAUAUUUGCAUUUUGGAGAAAAAGGAGUGUCUUUUUUUCCAAAUGUCCUGCUGGGUCACCUUUUUCUCUGUACCUAACAACUCACAAGUGUACAAAACGUGUUUUGUAAGUGGUAUGAAUUUCACCCAUCCAAACUUUUCUACUUGUUUUUGUAUUUAAAGGAGGAGAGGCAUUACGUUGAGUUUUCUGACUCCUCCUAGCUUUACGGGAGCAAAAACAGUGAAUGAGGCUUGGUGUGGAUUUCGUCCUUUGACCGGUGUGAAAUUUAAACUGGGGGGUGGGAGGGGGCAGCCACAAAUGUUUCAUCCCAGGGACUGUCGGCUGGCUUACGUUUCCCGCCGUCCUGUCAUUCCUAAGAUGUGGGGCUCGAGAGCAUUUGGGUCAGCUGGAUUUAUCUGGGGCAGGGCGGUUUAGGUUGGAGACAUCGGGCUGAAGCUUUGGAGGGGCUUGCAAAAAAGGGACUUUUUGCAGGUUGGCUCAGUGGGACACACCAGUGUGUCCUUUCCCUUUGGACCUGCGUGUUUUACACAAUCUCUUAUCGCUUGGGGUGCUGGUGAAGAUCCAGCCUUCCAGGCUAUUGCAUCAUUCUUGGCACGGGGAUGGGGGGAGAUAGAGAAAAGAGCGAGGCUCCCUUAUUUCUCUGCAGCCCCGUAAAGUGUUCCUACCGCCCUCUCUGUUGCAGAACCUUUCCAAGGAGGGAUGUCUUUAAGGAAGACAUGUGUGGAAGGCAGCCUCCAAAAAUGAUGCAGCAGGUGGUUAAAAAGAGGGAAUGUCCUCAGAUAGUAUGCCCUGGAGUUAUCCACUCUUUGGAGUUGGGUAGGAGCAUAAAUUGGUUGAGAAACACUGCUUUAAGGACUGGGGUUACAGGAACAGGGGCACCUUUUUACCACCUCCACCCGCACGUCAAUAUGCCACUGAACUGGACGCCCAUUUUGCCCUCUGAUGGGCAGUCCAUCCAGGACAGAGGACCCGAAGGGGAAAGAUCCAUCACAGCCUGCCCUCCGCUGAUCUGAGCUACCAUACAAGCCAGCUUUCUCGGUUUAGGUAUGGUGAGAGGCUGCAAAGGCAGAACGUUUUCUUUCCUGUUUUAGAAGAGGAUUGGGAUCUGUGUUUUGCAAUAAGUAAGUAAUAAAUGAAACACGGAUCCUGAGGAAACGUGGCGUGGGAAGGCUUCCGCUUGAACAUCGAACUCCCUGGGAGUAAGAAAUGCUACCGACCCACUGGGAGGUUGCUGGGAAUUGUGCCCCGUUCUCCGUAGAGUGGAAAGGGUGUCCUCUUUAAUAAGGCCCGUGGGACAGGACGAAUCCACACGAGGGUCCACUGCCUUGGCUCUUUCUUCCAAAAAAAAAAGAGAAAAGAAAAGCACAAUCUGUACUUUUAAAUUAAAAAAAAAAGUAUGCCUUAAACUUGAACAUGACUGCUUGCCUUGAAUUCUGCUGGUUCUGCUCCACAGAUUGAGGGUAUCUUGUUCACCUGACUUUAAAUAAACUGCUAAAAAGGAA